rnacentral:rRNA from 1 species
UACGUAGGGGGCAAGCGUUGUCCGGAAUUAUUGGGCGUAAAGAGCGUGUAGGCGGUCAGAUAAGUCCGCUGUGAAAUCUCGAGGCUCAACUUCGAGCUGUCGGUGGAAACUGUCUGGCUAGAGUCCGGAAGAGGAGAAUGGAAUUCCUGGUGUAGCGGUGAAAUGCGCAGAUAUCAGGAAGAACACCCGUGGCGAAGGCGGUUCUCUGGGACGGUACUGACGCUGAGACGCGAAAGCGUGGGGAGCGAACAGG